CAAUAGCGUAUAUUAAAGUUGUUGCAGUUAAAAAGCUCGUAGUUGGAUUUGUGGCGUACGGUGUGUUCCGGGCACUUGUUGUCUGAGUAACCUGCUGUUGCCAUCCUUGGGUGGAACCUGUGUGGCAUUAGGUUGUCGUGCAGGGGAUGCCCAUCAUUUACUGUGAAAAAAUUAGAGUGUUCAAAGCAGGCUUAUGCCGUUGAAUAUAUUAGCAUGGAAUAAUGAGAUAGGACUUUCUUGCUAUUUUGUUGGUUUGCGCAAAGAGGUAAUGAUUAAUAGGGACAGUUGGGGGUAUUCGUAUUCCAUUGUCAGAGGUGAAAUUCUUGGAUUUUUGGAGGACGAACUACUGCGAAAGCAUUUACCAAGGAUGUUUUCAUUAA
rnacentral:rRNA from 1 species